rnacentral:rRNA from 1 species
GGGCGGCGAGCGGCGGACGGGUGAGUAAUGGCUGGGAACCUGCCCGAUAGAGGGGGAUAACAGUUGGAAACGACUGCUAAUACCGCAUGAUGUCUACGGACCAAAGGAGGGGAUCUUCGGACCUUUCGCUAUCGGAUGGGCCCAGUUGGGAUUAGCUAGUUGGUGAGGUAAUGGCUCACCAAGGCGACGAUCCCUAGCUGGUUUGAGAGGAUGAUCAGCCACACUGGAACUGAGACACGGUCCAGACUCCUACGGGAGGCAGCAGUGGGGAAUAUUGCACAAUGGGCGCAAGCCUGAUGCAGCCAUGCCGCGUGUGUGAAGAAGGCCUUCGGGUUGUAAAGCACUUUCAGCAGUGAGGAAGGUUACGUAGUUAAUACCUGCGUGAUUUGACGUUAGCUGCAGAAGAAGCACCGGCUAACUCCGUGCCAGCAGCCGCGGUAAUACGGAGGGUGCGAGCGUUAAUCGGAAUUACUGGGCGUAAAGCGCAUGCAGGCGGUUUGUUAAGCAAGAUGUGAAAGCCCCGGGCUUAACCUGGGAACAGCAUUUUGAACUGGCAGGCUAGAGUCUUGUAGAGGGGGUAGAAUUUCAGGUGUAGCGGUGAAAUGCGUAGAGAUCUGAAGGAAUACCGGUGGCGAAGGCGGCCCCCUGGACAAAGACUGACGCUCAGAUGCGAAAGCGUGGGGAGCAAACAGGAUUAGAUACCCUGGUAGUCCACGCUGUAAACGAUGUCUACUUGGAGGUUGUGACCUAGAGUCGUGGCUUUCGGAGCUAACGCGUUAAGUAGACCGCCUGGGGAGUACGGUCGCAAGAUUAAAACUCAAAUGAAUUGACGGGGGCCCGCACAAGCGGUGGAGCAUGUGGUUUAAUUCGAUGCAACGCGAAGAACCUUACCUACUCUUGACAUCCAGAGAAGCCUGAAGAGAUUUUGGUGUGCCUUCGGGAACUCUGAGACAGGUGCUGCAUGGCUGUCGUCAGCUCGUGUUGUGAAAUGUUGGGUUAAGUCCC